GCAGCAGCCACGGGAAUACAGAGGGUGCAAGCGUUAAUCGGAUUUACUGGGCGUAAAGGGCGCGUAGGUGGUUAUGUAAGUGAGAUGUGAAAUCCCCGGGCUCAACCUGGGGACUGCGCUUGAUACGGUCGAGCUAGAGGAUGGAAGAGGGUUGUGGAAUUCCCAGUGUAGAGGUGAAAUUCGUAGAUAUUGGGAAGAACACCGGUGGCGAAGGCGACUAUCUGGGCCAACACUGACACUGAGGCACGAAAGCGUGGGGAGCAAACAGGAUUAGUUACCCCGGUAGUCCCUGUCUCUUAUAC
rnacentral:rRNA from 1 species